rnacentral:tRNA from 1 species
AACCAUAUGGUGUAAUAAACACGAUAAAUUGCAAAUUUAUAGAUUAUAGAAUGGUUA